rnacentral:ncRNA from 1 species
CAUUCUCAGGGCAGGGUGAAAGUCCCUACCGGUGGUGAGCGUGUUAACGUAAGCCCACGAGCGUUUGAGACAAAAGUGCGGGUGAUUUUUCCCGUAUUUUUUCUCAAAGUCAGCAGAUUUGGUGUGAAUCCAAAGCCGACAGUGAUAGUCUGGAUGAAAGAGAAUA